AACGCUGGCGGCGUGCCUAAUACAUGCAAGUCGAGCGAACGGACGAGAAGCUUGCUUCUCUGAUGUUAGCGGCGGACGGGUGAGUAACACGUGGAUAACCUACCUAUAAGACUGGGAUAACUUCGGGAAACCGGAGCUAAUACCGGAUGAUAUUUUGAACCGCAUGGUUCAAAAGUGAAAGACGGUCUUGCUGACACUUAUAGAUGGAUCCGCGCUGCAUUAGCUAGUUGGUAAGGUAACGGCUUACCAAGGCAACGAUGCAUAGCCGACCUGAGAGGGUGAUCGGCCACACUGGAACUGAGACACGGUCCAGACUCCUACGGGAGGCAGCAGUAGGGAAUCUUCCGCAAUGGGCGAAAGCCUGACGGAGCAACGCCGCGUGAGUGAUGAAGGUCUUCGGAUCGUAAAACUCUGUUAUUAGGGAAGAACAUAUGUGUAAGUAACUGUGCACAUCUUGACGGUACCUAAUCAGAAAGCCACGGCUAACUACGUG
rnacentral:rRNA from 1 species